GGGGGGAGCAAGCGUUGUUCGGAUUUACUGGGCGUAAAGGGCGCGUAGGCGGCCACCGCAAGUCAGUUGUGAAAUCUCUGGGCUUAACCCAGAAAGGUCAACUGAUACUGCGGGGCUAGAGUGCAGAAGGGGCAACUGGAAUUCUCGGUGUAGCGGUGAAAUGCGUAGAUAUCGAGAGGAACACCUGCGGCGAAGGCGGGUUGCUGGGCUGACACUGACGCUGAGGCGCGAAAGCUAGGGGAGCGAACGGGAUUAGAUACCCCGGUAGUCCUAGCCUUAAACGAUGAAUGCUUGGUGUCUGGGGUUUUAUAGUCCCCGGGUGCCGUCGCUAACGCUUUAAGCAUUCCGCCUGGGGAGUACGGUCGCAAGACUG
rnacentral:rRNA from 2 species